rnacentral:tRNA from 2 species
GCCCGGGUGGCGAAACUGGCAGACGCGGAGGACUCAAAAUCCUCUGAUCGUGAGAUCGUGCGGGUUCGAGUCCCGCCCCGGGCA